UACAGAGGUCUCAAGCGUUGUUCGGAUUCAUUGGGCGUAAAGGGUGCGUAGGCGGCGCGGUAAGUCGGGUGUGAAAUCUCUGGGCUUAACUCCGAAACUGCAUUCGAUACUGCCGUGCUUGAGGACUGGAGAGGAGACUGGAAUUUACGGUGUAGCGGUGAAAUGCGUAGAUAUCGUAAGGAAGACCAGUGGCGAAGGCGGGUCUCUGGACAGUUCCUGACGCUGAGGCACGAAGGCCAGGGGAGCAAACGGG
rnacentral:rRNA from 1 species